UUCAAUGUUGAAAAGCAU
rnacentral:snRNA from 1 species